rnacentral:tRNA from 1 species
GGGGUUGUGGCUUAGUGGUAGAGCACUUGUCUUGCACGUGUGAGGCCCUGGGUUCCAUUCUCAGCACCA